GGAAUAUUGCACAAUGGGGGAAACCCUGAUGCAGCCAUGCCGCGUGUGUGAAGAAGGCCUUCGGGUUGUAAAGCACUUUCAGUGGUGAGGAAGGUUGGUAGUUUAAUACGCUACCAAAUUGACGCUAGCCACAGAAGAAGCCACGGCAAACUCCGUUCCAGCAGCCGCGGUAAUACGGAGGGUGCGAGCGUUAAUCGGAAUUACUGGGCGUAAAGCGUACGGAGGCGGCUUAUUAAGCAAGAUGUGAAAGCCCCGGGCUCAACCUGGGAAUUGCAUUUUGAACUGGUAGGCUCGAGUUUUGAAGAGGGUGGUAGAAUUUCCAGUGUAGCGGUGAAAUGCGUAGAUAUUGGAAGCAAUACCAGUGGCGAAGGCGGCCACCUGGUCAAAAACUGACGCUGAGGUACGAAAGCGUGGGGAGCA
rnacentral:rRNA from 1 species